AACGAACGCUGGCGGCAUGCCUAACACAUCCAAGUCGAACGAAGCCUUCGGGCUUAGUGGCGCACGGGUGCGUAACGCGUGGGAAUCUGCCCCUUGCUUCGGAAUAACAGUUAGAAAUGACUGCUAAUACCGGAUGAAGUCUUCGGACCAAAGAUUUAUCGGCAAGGGAUGAGCCCGCGUAGGAUUAGGUAGUUGGUGGGGUAAAGGCCUACCAAGCCGACGAUCCUUAGCUGGUCUGAGAGGAUGAUCAGCCACACUGGGACUGAGACACGGCCCAGACUCCUACGGGAGGCAGCAGUGGGGAAUAUUGGACAAUGGACGCAAGUCUGAUCCAGCAAUGCCGCGUGAGUGAUGAAGGCCUUAGGGUUGUAAAGCUCUUUUACCAGGGAUGAUAAUGACAGUACCUGGAGAAUAAGCUCCGGCUAACUCCGUG
rnacentral:rRNA from 1 species